rnacentral:rRNA from 1 species
UACGGGGGGGAGCAAGCGUUGUUCGGAUUUACUGGGCGUAAAGGGCGCGUAGGCGGCCACCGCAAGUCGGUUGUGAAAUCUCUGGGCUUAACCCAGAAAGGUCAACCGAUACUGCGGGGGCUAGAGUGCAGAAGGGGCAACUGGAAUUCUCGGUGUAGCGGUGAAAUGCGUAGAUAUCGAGAGGAACACCUGCGGCGAAGGCGGGUUGCUGGGCUGACACUGACGCUGAAGCGCGAAAGCUAGGGGAGCGAACGGG